rnacentral:tRNA from 1 species
UAGAAAGUGGUAAAAUGGAAUUACAGGGGGUUUUGAUCCCCCAGUUGUAGGUUCAAUCCCUACCUUUCUAA